rfam:Postia placenta Mad-698-R POSPLscaffold_60_Cont3375, whole genome shotgun sequence.
GGCACUAUAGCCAAGUGGUUACGGCGACAGAUUCGAAUCACGUGAUAUCUGUUCCUCUUCGAGGGCGCAGGUUCGAGUCCUGCUGGUGUCG